rnacentral:rRNA from 1 species
GACGGGGGACGCAAGCGUUAGCCGGAAUCACUGGGCGUAAAGCGUCUGGAGGUGGUGAUGCAAGUCACUGGUGCAAAACUCUGGCUCAACCGGAGGAAAGCCAGUGAAACUGCAUGACUAGAGUGUGGGAGAGGUAGAAGGAAUUCCCUGAGUAGCGGCGAAAUGCGUAGAUACAGGGAAGAACACCGGAGGCGAAAGCGUUCUACUGGAACACAACUGACACUGAGAGACGAAAGCUAGGGGAGCGAAUGGG